CACACAUCAUUAUGACAGUGUCUAUGAGUUUAAUUUAUAUAAAUUGGCUUCGUUCCAGUUGGGGUUCGUAACCAAAGAUUACUGUCACAGAUUAAUAGAUACACUGUUUUUAACGUUUUUAACGAUCACGCCCAUUACCGUAGUUUUUACCGUUACCUACAUUAUUUUGCUUGCGAGCGUUGUAAUAAACGUUAAAGCCCUAAAUGGACUACAGAAAUGUUUACGUUUUUAAAAUAAUGUAAGAUUACAAUUUUGCCGUGUGUGGUAAGAAGCUGAGACCUGGUUCAAAUCCGCUGAUCGGCAUCGCAUAGACGCUUUCGAGAUGUGGUGCUGGAAAAGAAUGCUCCAUAUUCGUGAACAGUACCUACAUAGAACUAAUGUAUCGGUGCUAAGAUAACUUAACAUCUCGAAGAGACUGUCAGUAUGUCAUGAGUAACGACAAGUACAACACUCGACGGGCGACGGGGGGAAAGACGGGGUGAAAACGUGCGUGCGGGGAAGUGAGGUGCAUCAGUCAUGGGGUUUUCAUUUAUCGCUACCCGCCCCCCGGGCGUUCCCGCUAUCGGAAGUGUUAGGUACGAACGAAGUUGCCA
rnacentral:lncRNA from 1 species